AUACGGAGGAGACUAGCGUUGUUCGGAAUUACUGGGCGUAAAGAGUUCGUAGGCGGACUGAUAAGUAAGAGGUGAAAUCCCAGGGCUCAACCCUGGAACUGCCUUUUAAACUGUCAGUCUAGAGACCGGAAGAGGUUAGGGGAAUACCUAGUGUAGAGGUGAAAUUCGUAGAUAUUAGGUGGAACACCAGUGGCGAAGGCGCCUAACUGGUCCGGUACUGACGCUGAGGAACGAAAGCGUGGGGAGCAAACAGGAUUAGAUACCCUAGUAGUCC
rnacentral:rRNA from 1 species